CCUCUUGUUCAUUCACAACAUCAUCUUGUGUCUUGAGGAAACACAGCAGCUUACUGGUUGACCUGCGUCUCAGGUAUCAGUACACCUUCACAGAGACAGACGGAGGAAGCAACCCAACACUAACACACCUGCCGACCUGACCGACUGACACCUUCAUCAGAUCAGUGAUAUCUGUUUCCAGCUGACCCCAUGACAGUCAUUGUCUCGUCAUCAUGAGAUCACACCACCUCUUCCUUCUGUUCUACCUCACAGCUCUCUGCUGCUACUGGGGAGCAUCAGAUGCACAACGAAAUGAGACCUGCCUUACGCAAGAACUGUGUACUCAGG